UUCCUAUAGCUACAGUAGCUGAUAAAAUUGAUACAGAAAGUACUGCUGCUACUGCUACUGUAACUGAUAAAAUUGAUACAAAAAAAAUAGAAAAAUGGCUG